GGGCAGCAGUGGGGAAUAUUGCACAAUGGGCGGAAGCCUGAUGCAGCAACGCCGCGUGCGGGAUGACAGCCUUCGGGUUGUAAACCGCUUUCGCCUGUGACGAAGCGUGAGUGACGGUAAUGGGUAAAGAAGCACCGGCUAACUACGUGCCAGCAGCCGCGGUGAUACGUAGGGUGCGAGCGUUGUCCGGAUUUAUUGGGCGUAAAGGGCUCGUAGGUGGUUGAUCGCGUCGGAAGUGUAAUCUUGGGGCUUAACCCUGAGCGUGCUUUCGAUACGGGUUGACUUGAGGAAGGUAGGGGAGAAUGGAAUUCCUGGUGGAGCGGUGGAAUGCGCAGAUAUCAGGAGGAACACCAGUGGCGAAGGCGGUUCUCUGGGCCUUUCCUGACGCUGAGGAGCGAAAGCGUGGGGAGCGAACAGGCUUAGAUACCCUGGUAGUCCACGCUGUAAACGGUGGGUACUAGGUGUGGGGUCCAUUCCACGGGUUCCGUGCCGUAGCUAACGCUUUAAGUACCCCGCCUGGGGAGUACGGCCGCAAGGCUAAAACUCAAAGGAAUUGACGGAA
rnacentral:rRNA from 1 species